CCUACGGGAGGCAGCAGUGAGGAAUAUUGGUCAAUGGACGCACGUCUGAACCAGCCAUGCCGCGUGCAGGAAGACGGCUCUAUGAGUUGUAAACUGCUUUUGUACGAGGGUAAACGCAGAUACGCGUAUCUGUCUGAAAGUAUCGUACGAAUAAGGAUCGGCGAACUCCGUGCCAGCAGCCGCGGUAAUACGGAGGAUUCAAGCGUUAUCCGGAUUUAUUGGGUUUAAAGGGUGCGUAGGCGGUAGGAUAAGUUAGAGGUGAAAUCCCGAGGCGCAACUUCGGAAUUGCUUCUGAUACUGGUCGGCUAGAGAGUAGUAGCGGUAGGAGGAAGGUAUGGUGGAGAGGGGAAAUGCUUAGAGAUCA
rnacentral:rRNA from 1 species